rnacentral:rRNA from 1 species
GAUGAACGCUGGCGGCGUGCCUAAUACAUGCAAGUCGAACGCUGGAGAUCUAGCUUGCUAGAUCGAAGGAGUGGCGAACGGGUGAGUAAUACAUAAGCAACCUACCCACGAAGACUGGGAUAAUCUCUGGAAGCGGGGACUAAUACCGGAUAGGUACUCGGAAGGCAUCUUCUGGUUAUUAAAGGUUAAAAACACUGGUGGAUGGGCUUAUGGCGCAUUAGUUAGUUGGUGAGGUAACGGCCCACCAAGACGAUGAUGCGUAGCCGGCCUGAGGGGGUGAACGGCCACAGGGGGACUGAGACACGGCCCAGACUCCUACGGGAGGCAGCAGUAGGGAAUUUUCGGCAAUGGGGGCAACCCUGACCGAGCAACGCCGCGUGAGUGAAGACGGCCUUCGGGUUGUAAAGCUCUGUUGUAAGGGAAGAACGGUAGAUAGAGAAUAUCUAAGUGACGGUACCUUACCAGAAAGCCACGGCUAACUACGUG